AGGAUUUAGACACAUCACACCAACUGCUGCUCAGACAGUUAGAAAAGUAAUCAUACAGUAGAUAUUACCAUUAGGAGUCAGUUAGAAAGGUAAUCAUACAGUAGAUAUUACCAUUAGGAGUCAGUUAGAAAGGUAAUCAUACAGUAGAUAUUACCAUUAGGAGUCAGUUAGAAAGGUAAUCAUACAGUAGAUAUUACCAUUAGGAGUCAGUUAGAAAGGUAAUCAUACAGUAGAUAUUACCAUUGGGAGUCAGUUAGAAAGGUAAUCAUACAGUAGAUAUUACCAUUAGGAGACAGUUAGAAAGGUAAUCAUACAGUAAGUCAAUACUGUAAGUAAAACUAAGUUAGAAUCCUAAAUAUUACAAUAAGAGGUCAGACAGACUUAAUUAGUUGAUUUAUUGAAUGAUUGGUGUAAUCAUUGAUAUUCGGUACGGUUAAUUAAGAUGGCCGACUACGUCAACAAACAGGUGAUUGAAUUAAACAAAUUUAUGGAAGAAAACCGGAACAGAGCAACGAGGAGUGUAAAGACUGAAACCCAUCUCUCAGCGAGUGUGUGUUCCUCUACAGAUGGAAGAACAAGACUCUACAGGCUGGCUGCUGUGUGUUUUGGAGUGCUGUGUGUUCUACAAGUCAUUCUCAACAUCUCCCUGAAACUGGCUUUCUCUGGCUCUAACGAAGAGAGAAACCAGUUAGAGGCAUGUUACAACACCACUGGCCUGCCGCAAGACAGAGACCAGUCAGAUACCAGUAGUCGUAUCAUUGGCCUGUGUACAGAAAGAGACCAGCUGCAGAAGGAGAGAGACCAAUGCCGGAGGAACAUGAACCAGCUAGAGAGGAAGAGAGGGCAGUUACUGAGGGACAGAGACCAGUUACUGAGGGAGAGAGACCAGUUACAGAGUGAGAGAGACCAGUUACAGAGUGAGAGAGACCAGUUACAGAGGGAGAGAGACCAGUUACAGAGGGAGAGAGACCAGUUACAGAGGGAGAGAGACCAGUUACAGAGGGAGAGAGACCAGUUACUAAAGGAGAGAGACCAGUUACAGAGUGAGAGAGGCCAGUUACUAAAUGAGAGAGACCAGUUACAGAGUGAGAGAGACCAGUUACAGAGUGAGAGAGACCAGUUACUAAAUGAGAGAGACCAGUUACUAAAGGAGAGAGACCAGUUACAGAGUGAGAGAGACCAGUUACAGAGUGAGAGAGACCAGUUACAGAGUGAGAGAGACCAGUCAGAGAAAACAGAUGACAAAAUACAGUUACAGGAGCGUAAUAAUGCCCUGACUAAAGACAGGGACAUGUUGAGAGACAGGGUCAGUGUUCUGACCAAUGAGAAGGUGGCACUGGAGGAGAGGCUCUCUGAGUGUGAGCUAAACAUUUGUCAGAAAAUCUGGAAAUCUUGUCCAGAGGGUUGGAGGCUCUUGGGAUCCAGCUGUUACUUCCUGUCGACUCAGAUGAAAACCUGGGAGGAGAGCAGACUGGACUGUCUGAACAGAGGAGCAGACCUGAUGAUCAUAAACAACAAGGAGGAACAUGUGAGUGAGAGUAUCUCUGUGGCAUCAACAAGAUUGUCUGGAUUGGUCUAACUAACUCCGUUACUGGGGGGACCUGGAAAUGGGUGGAUGGCACCGCACUGACCACGGCAAGCUAUUGGAGGAGUGGAGGCCCUUAUGGUGGUGGAGUGGAGAACUGUGUGGUGUUACCUUACUGGUCAUCAGGCUACAGAGGAUGGUGGGACUAUCGUUGUUCAUAUCCACAGUACUGGAUGUGUGAAAAAGGCCUCUUGUAGGUACUGCUGUUUAAGGAACAAUGAAGACGGAUUAUAUAUUUUGUUACAAUGGCACUCUGAACUAGACGUUGGAAAGAAAGGCACACACACACACAAAACAAAUCAGGUAUAUAUCACCCAAUAGCUGUUGUCAAUGUUAAGAUGUAUAGUUCAUUAUGUAACAUUGCAUGUAGGCUGUACACAAAUCUCUCUCUCUCUACCUCUACCUUUCUCAUGUUGAUGGUUGUUUACAGUGCUGAAAGGUUACGAGAUGAUUCCACCUAGUGGUUAAAGUGAGAGAUGAACUCACCAUAGAGUUGAAAUAGUGGUAUUACAGACUUGCAUAUGGGCUUUUCCUCAAUUCAUCCUUCCUCGAUUACUCCCAGCAUCCUCUCUCCUCCCUUCCUUCUCAAAACAUAUUGGAGAAUACAAUCCUCGGAGAGGGACCUUCUCUAAUAGGGUUGAGGAGGAGAGGAAUUUUAUGUUACGUAUUGAUGAGUGUGUAGACACUCUGCUCUAAAAUGCUUGUAUUCAUUGUUUUUAUUAGCAACAUGUCAUGUGAUUUGCCAUGCUUCCGCUAAGUUCAUUAAUAAUUUCUCUGUAUUUUUUUCAUGAUCAAUUAUUAUCAUCAAUCCCUUUUAUAAUAAGAAGAACAAAGGCACAGAUUAAUAAAUAAAUGAACAACGUC